ACUGGAGGAAGAUUGGCUUCUCCCAGACUCACAGCUAUGACUUCCAGCCAUCCCUCUGCCCUCACAGCUGUGAGCUUAGCUUCCUUGAGCUUCAGUUUUCUCAUCUGUAAAGUGGUAUUUUGAGCAGUGGAAAAAAGUGGGCUUCUAUUUCUUAAAACACAGACGCUGACCCCUUGGUGGAGCCUCGGGAAGUCAAGUUCUCUUACUUUGAGAUGGCGGGACACAGGACUCUCCAUUCCGGACAGCCCGCUCAGGACUCACAUUGGCCUUUGUGUCUCCACUUCUCAAGACACAUUCACAGCUCCCUUCGAUGAAGAAACUGAGGCAGAGAGAAGUAAAGCAUCUUGGCCAAAGUUACAGGCAGGAUCGUGGCUGGGCUGGGGACCCAGGGUCCUACCUCCUGAAGUCCCUUCUAAACUGUUUUAUUUGUGA